AGCAAGUAGCGUAAAGAGGAAUAUAAAUUACAGCAAGACAAUAAUUAAAAAAAUAAAAGGAAAAAAAAAAAAACAAAAAAAAAAACAAAAACAAAAGGAAGAAAAACAUAGUUGAUAUUGACGAGAAAAUAGGGAAGUUCCUGCGAGUUUUUUUUGUCUGAUCCUUUCGGUAGAAAAGUGUUGCCUAGGACAAAGCAGAAGAACAGUGGAGAUAGAGAACUUUCAUCUUUAUUUUGUUAUAUCUUUGUCCACAUAAAUGGAUCCAAUGGCUGAAGAGCAAAUAGACUAUGAUGAUGAGGAAUAUGGAGGGGCUCAGAAGCUCCAGUAUCAAGGAAGUGGAACUAUACCUGCUCUUGCAGAUGAAGAACUCAUGGGAGAAGAUGAUGAGUAUGAUGAUCUUUAUAAUGAUGUUAAUGUUGGAGAGGGUUUCCUGCAGUUGCACCGAUCUGAGGCACCACAGCCACCUACUGGAGUUGGCAAUGGAGGACACCAAGCUCAGAAAAUUGAUGGUCCUGAACCAAGGGAGGAAGUCGGGGGCUCACAAGAACUGAACAUUCCUGGAGUUUCUGUACAAGGAAAGUAUGCUGGUAUUGGAGCCCAGUUUCCUGAGCAGAAGGAGGGGCCAGUGGUAGAUAAGGGAUCAGAAGCAAGAUCAAUGGGAUAUCCAGAUGGUGCUUCAACACAAAAGGGAAGGGUUAUGGAGGUGAAUCAUGAUACUCAAGUCAGACAUAUGGGGUUUCAAGGGUCAACAUCCAUUACCCCUAGUAUUGGAGUUGACUCAUCUAAUAUUACUGGAAAAACUGUUAGUGAACCUGUCCCAACUCUAAAUUCUGGCAGUGCUGGUCCUCGAGGUGGCCCACAGAUGCCGGCUAAUCAAAUGAAUGCAAAUGUAAAUAUUCAUCGUCCAAUGGUUAAUGAAAACCAGAUUCGGCCACCGAUAGAGAAUGGUGCAACCAUGCUGUUUGUGGGAGAACUUCAUUGGUGGACAACUGAUGCUGAGCUUGAAAGUGUUUUAUCUCAAUAUGGGAGAGUCAAGGAGAUAAAGUUUUUUGACGAGAGAGCCAGUGGUAAAUCCAAAGGGUAUUGUCAAGUUGAAUUUUAUGAUUCAUCUGCUGCUGCUGCUUGCAAGGAGGGAAUGAAUGGUCAUGUUUUCAAUGGGCGAGCUUGUGUUGUGGCUUUUGCAUCUCCACAAACGCUUAAGCAGAUGGGUGCUUCUUAUGUGAAUAAAAACCAAGCCCAGAAUCAGUCUCAGCCUCAGGGAAGGAGGCCUAUGAAUGAUGGUGGUGGAAGAGGAGGAAACAUGAAUUAUCAAAGUGGAGAGUCAGGAAGGAAUUUUGGAAGGGGUGGAUGGGGACGGGGUGGACAAGGAAUACUCAACAGAGGUCCUGGGGGUGGAGGACCAAUGAGGGGAAGAGGAGGGGCCAUGGGUGCAAAGAACAUGGUUGGGAACACUGCUGGAGUUGGGGGAAAUGCUGGUGGUGGAGGCUAUGGACAGGGUCUUCCAGGGCCAGGAUUCGGAGGUCCAGCUGGUGGUAUGAUGAAUCCACAGGGCAUGAUGGGUUCUGGCUUUGAUCCAACAUAUAUGGGUAGAGGAGGUGGUUAUGGAGGAUUUCCAGGUCCUGCUUUCCAUGGAAUGCUUCCUUCAUUUCCAGCAGUUAAUACCAUGGGACUUGCUGGCGUGGCUCCUCAUGUCAAUCCAGCCUUCUUUGGUAGGGGAAUGGCAUCUAAUGGGAUGGGAAUGAUGGGUUCUUCUUUAAUGGAUGGCCAUCAUGCAGGGAUGUGGACUGACCCAAGCAUGGGUGGAUGGAGUGGUGAAGAACAUGGUCGAAGAAUGAGGGAAUCUAGCUAUGGUGGUGAUGACGGUGCUUCUGAAUAUGGGUAUGGAGAGGCAGAUCAAGAAAAAGGAGUAAGGUCAAGUGCUGCCUCCAGAGAAAGAGAACGGGGAUCUGAGCGUGACUGGUCAGGAAACUCAGAGAGGAGGCAUCGUGAUGAAAGGGAUCAGGACUGGGACAGGUCUGAAAAGGAGCAUAGGGAGCAUCGGUACAGGGAAGAAAAAGAUGGGCAUCGAGAUCAUCGGCAGAGAGAGCGUGACUUGGAUUAUGAGGAUGACUGGGAUAGGGGGCAGCCUUCGUCAAGACCUCGGAGUAGGUCUAGGGUGAUGCCAGAAGAAGAUCAUCACCGGUCUCGUUCGAGGGAUUUGGAUUAUGGAAAGAGAAGACGCUUGCCAUCUGAGUAACAUGAUAAAAUCAUUUGUUCUUAGCAGGUGUUAUAAGACUGCAGAGUUUAUGGUCUCAAACCUUGUCUAUCCUUGGAUCACUAAGAUGCAUCUAUGUCAUUCUCUUUGUCUUGGUGGCUGCAUAUGCAAUAUCUGGCAUCUGGAGGGAAGAAGUAAGUUCCACUUGUGUCGCUAGAAGGGAAGGAUUGAUUUCCAAUUGCUUUACUGCUUUCUACAGAACAUAUUAGCUGCAAUAAUCUACGUUUGUGUGCUAAAAUAAUAUUAGAAACUUUAAUGGCAUACCAAUGGGAAUAAGUUUGAUGUGUUUGGCUCUUAGUAUCCAGAAGCUGGCUAUCCCAUUGGUUUGAUAAUUGCCUUAUAGUAUCCUCUCUUCAAGAAAUCUUCUUUAUUGGACUUGUGAUAUUGGGAAUAGAGUGGGCAACUCUUUCUUUUCAUGAUUGAUGAUUGAAUCAGCCUUUGCUGGUUACAUGGUGGAAGAUUUGUUACAUGGGAUGCCUUUAUUGGAUUCCUCUGGUGAUGGCUUUGGUCUGCCAAGUUGUGUGCAAAAGAAGCCUUUGAAUGUUUUGAUUUUGACCUUUGUUUCCUCUAGCACCACCUAAAAUAUGAAAUUCUUCUCUGCAACAAAAAUCUAGAAAAGAAUGUCUAUGAACUUGUUCAAACAUUAACUUGGAGAUCUGUCAGUUUGCAUAGCAUACAUAGUCUUGUGUAAAAAAGUUUUUCUAUUAGCUCCACAUGUAAUGGCCUCUCUGCUGUUGUAAUUUUUGUUUUUCUUCUUGUUGUUUUUUGUUGUUUUCUUCGCUAAUUUGAUUGUAAAUAGACAUAGCAGAGAGUUUGUAAAAGUCUUGUAUUGCGGCUCAUAGAAGUUGUAUUUUGUGUUAUUAAAAUGACAAUGUUUGUUUUUGCAUUAGGCAAUCAGUGUUGAUUCAUUACUAUGUAAUAAGAGGCCAUAUGCAAAUUGUAGUGGUUGUAGUGAUACAUGUACAGAACGGUUUACCUUGAGAUAAUGUACUCCGCUGAAUUAAGGAUUUGAGAAUUA